UAUAGGAUAACUCAGUGAUAGAGCAGUUAUUUAUAAAGAAAAAGACCCAGGUUUGAUUCCUGGUCCUGUAA
rnacentral:tRNA from 1 species